rnacentral:rRNA from 1 species
AGGCAGCAGUUGGGAAUAUUGGACAAUGGGCGAAAGCCUGAUCCAGCAAUGCCGCGUGAGUGAUGAAGGCCUUAGGGUUGUAAAGCUCUUUUACCCGGGAUGAUAAUGACAGUACCGGGAGAAUAAGCUCCGGCUAACUCCGUGCCAGCAGCCGCGGUAAUACGGAGGGAGCUAGCGUUGUUCGGAAUUAUUGGGCGUAAAGAGCUCGUAGGCGGUUUGUCGCGUCUGCUGUGAAAACGCGAGGCUCAACCUCGCGCCUGCAGUGGGUACGGGCAGACUAGAGUGCGGUAGGGGAGACUGGAAUUCCUGGUGUAGCGGUGGAGUGUGCAGAUAUCAGGAGGAACACCGGUGGCGAAGGCGGGUCUCUGGGCCGUAACUGACGCUGAGGAGCGAAAGCAUGGGGAGCGAACAGGAUUAGAUACCCCGGUAG